rnacentral:rRNA from 1 species
AUUGAACGCUGGCGGCAUGCCUUACACAUGCAAGUCGAACGGCAGCGGGCCUUCGGGUGCCGGCGAGUGGCGAACGGGUGAGUAAUGCAUCGGAACGUGCCAUUGAGUGGGGGAUAACGUAGCGAAAGUUGCGCUAAUACCGCAUAUUCUGUGAGCAGGAAAGCAGGGGACCGCAAGGCCUUGCGCUCUUUGAGCGGCCGAUGUCAGAUUAGCUAGUUGGUGAGGUAAAGGCUUACCAAGGCGACGAUCUGUAGCGGGUCUGAGAGGAUGAUCCGCCACACUGGAACUGAGACACGGUCCAGACUCCUACGGGAGGCAGCAGUGGGGAAUUUUGGACAAUGGGGGCAACCCUGAUCCAGCCAUGCCGCGUGAGUGAAGAAGGCCUUCGGUGUAAGCUCUUCGGUCCGGACGAAUACGCAUGGUGAAUACCCUGUGUGGAUGACGGUACCGGAACAAGAAGCACCGGCUAACUACGUGCCAGCA